rnacentral:rRNA from 1 species
UACGGGGGGGGCAAGCGUUGUUCGGAAUUACUGGGCGUAAAGGGCUCGUAGGCGGCCAACUAAGUCAGACGUGAAAUCCCUCGGCUUAACCGGGGAACUGCGUCUGAUACUGGAUGGCUCGAGUUUGGGAGAGGGAUGCGGAAUUCCAGGUGUAGCGGUGAAAUGCGUAGAUAUCAGGAGGAACACCGGUGGCGAAGGCGGGUCUCUGGGCCGAAAUUGACGCUGAGGAGCGAAAGCGUGGGGAGCAAACAGG